UACGUAGGGUGCAAGCGUUGUCCGGAAUUAUUGGGCGUAAAGAGCUCGUAGGCGGUUUGUCACGUCGGAUGUGAAAACCCGAGGCUUAACCUCGGGCCUGCAUUCGAUACGGGCUGACUAGAGUUCGGUAGGGGAGACUGGAAUUCCUGGUGUAGCGGUGAAAUGCGCAGAUAUCAGGAGGAACACCGGUGGCGAAGGCGCCACUCUGGGCCGAAACUGACGCUGAGGAGCGAAAGCGUGGGUAGCAAACAGG
rnacentral:rRNA from 1 species